AUGAGGAUUUCAUCUUUGACGCUACUCCUAACCCUUGCCUUUCUUGUGCUAGCAUCAAAUGCGAAAACAAAACCAGGUUGUACGGUCGUAUACUUGAAGAAGUUUGGUGGGUACUUGAUUGGUGGUUGUGAGGACGAUUGCCACAAGAAGUAUAAGGCGACCAUUCACUGCUCUGACGAUAUGGCGUGCGCUUGGCAAGCCGAUAUUGAUGGCAGCAGGUGUAAGUGCUCAAUGUGCAUAUUCUCCUCCAAGGCUCCAGCAGAGGAAACUGUGAUGUUAACUAGCUAA
rnacentral:rRNA from 1 species